rnacentral:lncRNA from 1 species
UGAAAAAUGCCUGAGUUGGAGUUAGCUAAAUGGAGGUGUGGUUGAGUGAGAGGGGCCAUGAUUAGCAAAAGAAAGAGCUUGAGCCAAGAGGUGAAAGCAAGAAAGUGUAUCCUGAAGGACAUAGAAGGGACAAGAGGCAGGAAGGCUUUCUCUGGUAUCCUAAAGAGUUUGGGCUUGACCCUGGAUGGAGAACUGCUAGGAGAAUUUGGGUAAGGCAAAGACACAACUAUUACAUUUUAGAAAAAAAUGAUACCACUGGCAAUACAGAAAAUGUAUCAAAGUUGAAGCCACUGGGUACAUCAUGGUUCAAGUCGCUGAGAAUGAGAACUGAUAGAGACCUAAGGGGGUGGCAAGUAGAGGGGAAUUCAUGAUGAACUCAGUUUGGAAUAUGUUGAAUUCACAUAUUCAGAGAAAUGUUUAGGGUAGUGGGGAAGACAAGAUUUGGGCAUAAGAGAGAGAAGAAAAAUUUGAGAGGUUGAGAUUGUGCAGUGCUUUAUCAUAGCAUGUAUGAUCUCUUGACACAUUCUUUAUUUCAUGUCUUCCCUGACUAGAAAUAAACUUCACGAGGGUGAGAACUUUGCUUUAUUUCCACCAUCUAGAACUGUGCCUGAACCACAGGGAGCACUCAGGAAAAAUUUACUGAAAAGAUGAAUUAUUCAGAAUUGUAGUUGAAAAGGUGUCUUCAGAGGAGUUUACUUACAUGCAGUGGACAUGAAAUAGGGCAUAGAGUGAAACCGUAGGCAAAACAUUGGGUGGAUAAUGUCAUUUGAUGCCAAAAAAGAAGCACUGAGGAAUUAGGAAAAACAAGAGAUAAUGAGGUCCCAGGUGACAAUGGAAGCAGUUGUGGAAAACUGCUUUAAAUGUCAUAGAGCACUCAGAAGGAAUUCAUAAAUGACCUCAUAAAGAAGUCCACUGUGGUUUCCCUGCAGAGGUGGGAAUAGAAUCAGAGUGCUAAGGAUUGAGGGAUUAAGAGGAGGUGAUUGUAUUAUUCCUCUUUUCAGAUAAUGGAGAGAGAGAAGAGAACAGCAGUAGCCGUUGCCAGAAAUAUUGAGCAAGGCGGAUUUAUUAGAUGAAGAUAUCAAAAUACUUUCCAUUGAGGAAACAGGUUGGAGGUGGGAGGCUGUAACCAUGCUUGAUUUUGUACCACCCUAACCUUUGCUUGUAAGUAUACUUUUUGAAAACCCAUUUUAUUGAACUGAAAUGUAUUUUGUUCUGAAGGGUUGAAAAAGGCUAAAGAAGUGGGAAGGAAUUUUUGUUAAACCUUAUACAAUAAGGGAAAAUUUUCCAGCAACAUGGAAAGACAUCAGAAUUGAAAUCCUAGUGAACUACUAACUAUGUGAAAUGGACAAGUGGCUUAUUAUUCCAAUUUUACAGAAAAGAAAAAUGAGACAUAAAUGUUAACAUCUAUGUGUAUGAUGAUUACGUGAGAUAAAUUUGGGUCUCUAUUUUGAGUGUUUUGUGGGCAGGAAUGGAUUAGGACUUUCUAAAAUAUUAAAUGGGCCAAUCUAAAUAUGUGAUCAAAAUUUUUCAGAGGUAUAUUUUGUGGUAUUUACAGCAAGAUGAGAAUGUAUUUUAAAUUGAUCUUUGAUCAUAUUUUUAUCUUUUAAACAUGUUCUGCCUCAUUUUCUCUGUAAUAAUAACUAUAAUUAUAUCCAUUCCUCAUUAUAAAGCUGCUCUUUUUUCUUUUCUGACAUUCUGCCUUCAUCGACUAAUGGUGGUGAGGCUACUACCUCCUGAGGUUACUUAUAAAAUUAAAGCGAUUGGGAAGGAAUGUUACAUGCAGUCCACAUUGUAUGUGAUACCGAGAGGAGACAGGAGGGCAGAGUCCCUGAUGAGAGCUCCACCCUUAAGCCUGGACCCGUGGCCCUGAAUGAGAACAGGCAUUGCUGCUUUCCUGCCCAAAGGCUGCUUUUUCCAAAACCACCGUGGCCCACCAUGUCCCCUAUCCUGUACCUAUAAAAACCCCAAACUCCACUGGCAGAGGAAUAGAGUGGCACAGCAGAGAAGGAAAGAAUAGAAGUGUCUGAAUGUCAAAGAGGGAGCUGGACAGUCAGAGAGGAGUUUGGCUGGGGACAGCUGAGCUCCAGGGGAAGAUCAUCUUCCCACUCCAUCCCCUUUCCAGCCCCCCAACCCACAAAGAGCCACCUCCAUCAUUCAGUAAAACCUCUGCAUUCACCAUCCUUCAAGUCCAUGUGACCUGAUUCUUCUUGUACUCUGGACAAAAAUCCAGGUUCCAAGAGGGCAGGGUAUAUGUCACCCUGAUUCUCCACGGGACUGUUUAACACUUAGCCCUCUGUGGACAGCAACUGCUAAAAGAGCAUUAAUUGUAACACAUGCCCUCUGGGGCUCCAGAGGUUGUGCGCAACUGCUAGAUGCUGCCCCUGGCGCCCAAAGGCACUAGCCCUGGUUCCCAUACCCACUUACCUGCAUGCUCCCACUCCUGCAAGGGGCUUGAGUUCAGCAACAAAGCAAAACAAGCUACCACCAACCCUCCACACCCUCCCUGUGGCAAGACUCGCAAGAGGGUCAGGGAACUCUCCCCCGUCAUAUGCGUUAUUCCAGUUUAGUUACCUACAAAAUAAACUUGCCAGAAUUAGUGUUUACUACAUAAGCUAAGCACCUAUUUCAACAUGUGUGAGCUUCUAAAAAGCAAAUCAAUGCUCUUCUGUCCAAUUUUGGCCAAGGCUUCAUGAUCUCUUUCCUUAAAACAUCAACUUAAAUUUUACCAUUACUUUUCUCUCUUCCUUCCCCUUAUCCUAUUUAACUAUUAUUAGAGACAUUUUAAAAAAAUUCCUUUCCUUUUCCAUGCUUGGUUUCCUCAAUAGCGAUUUUAUAUAGAAAACAUUUGACAUUAUAGUCUAGCUUUUCAUAGUUAAAAUUAAAUAUUUCAUUAAAAAGAGGAGUCUAUUUUUUCAGACUUGUAGGGCUCUGGGAAGUGGACUUAUGAAAAAAAUGACUUUGUAUUUAUUUACAGAUAAAUAACCAUGUGUCUGUAAUUAGUAAGAGAUCCACUGUAUGUAAUUUAUCUUUUUCUUAUGUGUUACCUGUUAAAGAUGACCUUGUGUUUCCCGACAUGCUGUCAAGUGAAAGAUUUUGUAAGAAUCCUUCUAUAUUCCUACAUUAUUUUAUUGCAUUGCUCAUCAAUUUUGCAUUUUCUCCCUCUCUUAUGAUCCUAGCCUUUCCUUUAUUAGAAGUAAUUAUCUAGUUCAUAGAAAAUUGUUUAAUUUGGUUAUUUUCAUUACUUCAAAGAGAAAUUCUAAUGUAGAACGAUUUGUUUAUAUAUCUCUUGCAGACUCAAAAUACACACCACUAUUAUAAAAACCUUCCCUGCCUAGCUCAUAUUUCCCCCGACUCCUACCCCAUGGUUCCCUAGCUUAUUGAAUGUACUCAUAGCAUCUCUUUUAGUCUGUAUUGCUAUCAUGUGUUUUUCUAAUCUGUUCCCCAUAGUAACAGUGAAAUCCUUGAGGGCACGAGUCUUAUCUUUUUCAACUCUAUUUUCAGCACCUCGCAUUGUGAGUUGGUGUAAGUAGUUCAGUAAAUAACUGUAGAUGUCAAAAUAAAUAAAUGUCAGCUAAUUUUUAUGUAUAUUCAAAGAUAAAAUUUUAUUUAUUGUCAUAAUUACCUUUACCCAAUCUAUUUUUUAUUGUUUGUUUCAAAUUACACCAAUAAAAAUGUGACAAUAACCAUGCUCAUCCUUAGACUAACACCAAUGUUUAGAAGCAGUUUCACCAUAUAGUUCCAUUUUUAAAAAAUUCUAAAUAUUUGCUAUAUUCUUUAAUUGAGUCUUCCCAAAGCAAUCUUUGAACUAAUUGUUGGUUUCUCAGAUUUCUAUUUUGUUAUCUUUAAGACACUCUUUAAAUCUCAUCAAAAAUCUUCAUGGAAAUUAAUUACAUUGUACCCAAACGUUAUAAAAUCUUACCAUUUAAAGAUACUUUAGAGUUCAUUUGAACUAUUCUUCAAAGAAUUAGCAAUGAAGUUCUUUUGGAUUGAUUGAUAUUCAUGUACCCAAGAAAGAUAGGUAGAAUAUUAAUUCAUUUUAUUAUUUCCAAAGAGAAGGUGUGAAAAUAAACUAGAACACAGUUGAGUUGGCAGAACUGAGUUUGUGUUUACAAAACUGAAAAGGCUGGACCACAAUGUGGUUUACUGGUGAUAUAUUAAUUUAGAUAACAAUUAAAUCUCGGAGACUUACCAUAUUGAAAGUUUAUUUUUUGGUUUACACAAAUCUGAUAUACUGGAUAGGGGCUUUUCUCCUUUCAUUUACUCAAGGAUCCAGGUUCCAGUCCAAUAUGCACCAUUCAGCCUGGUUGCAGCAUGUUAAGCAGCCCUGGAGGCAGCAGAUGAGGGAUCCUAUGAAGCAACUUUCAGACAUUCAGAACCAAGACAAAAAAAAAGAGAAUUAAAGUAAAAUAUGAUGUACCCAGGAGUUACAUCAGUGAACCAAAUACAGCCUCAAAUUUCGAUCUGUGCUUCACAGCAGCCAGCAAAAAGAACAAAACAUAUUUUGUUAGUUCAUAUAAAUAAAUAAAUUAAAAAUGCAUGAAUAAAUAAAUAAAGCAAACCAGUUUCUCGAUUCUGAAAUAUUUUCUGGAAGUGAGAACUGAAAGGAAUUUCCACCAUGGACCCACAAGCAGUUGUUGGUGGCAUAUAUAAUGAGUGCUGGGUGUUAAGGAAGCAAUGGUGAAGGAGAGACACCCUCCCGACCCUCAUGGUGCUUGCAGCCUAGUGGAGCUAUGAAAAGAUAGGCAAGUGAGUCCUAUGAUUGGAGAAGUAAUGAGAAGUAAUGAGAAGCGUCUUCUAAGCAUAGGGGUAAAGACUGCAAAGACCCUGAAGGGAGAAAGUAAUGGCCAUUCUGAGAACUGAAAGUUUGCACAGUGCACAGAGGGCAUGAAGAACGAAGGAAAGAGAUUUUUUUUUUUUUUUUUUUGCCCAAGAUGGCAAGUUGCUUAAAACCUAAAGCUCCUUUCAAUUCUUUACAAUCCAAGAUUAUAUGGAAUGGACUGGGAACAAAGAGAGGGACUGGCAUUUAAAGUCUUUUAUACACUUUGGAACAAAUGUUAUUCUCCAUUCAUCCUGACACUAAAUUGGUUAGCCAAACCCAAAGAUCUACUAAUAAUCCUGCUUUGGCAUGGGAGAAUGAGUGAGAUAAGGAGGCAAUAGAGGAGAUGAAUCGACAAAUGGAAGGAAUAGAAUUCUGGUUGAUGUCCUUGUCUCUAAGCUGUAGCAGCAAGUAUUUAUCCUAAUCAUGUGGUGUUAGCACGGAGAUGAGAAAGAGAGAAAGACAACAUCAUGCUUUGCUGUCUGUGUGUGAACUGAGUAACAGCUGUGAAGGAUCAGUCACCAAAAGACUUUGAAAGAAGAGGCUUGAUUGGUCACGGUAAUGAUGCUCCCCUGGCCAUGGAAGUUUAAUUGGGAGAAAAGAACAUCUGCUUAUACGAAAACAUAUUAUAUUCAGCCAUCCCUGCCCUGACUUUGGCCUUUAAAAACAGUGGCAUUAAUUAUCUCAACAAAUGAAUCUUCGGGAUAAAAAUAAUCUAAAUAUUAUUUUACGCUUACUACAUAUUUGCAACGUGCUAAGCUCUUUAUGGUUGCUACCACAAAAAACAUUUAUAAUAUGAGGUGGGUAUUUUUAUUAUAUACAUUUUCAGUUUAAAGACAGUAACUUCAGAAUGUAACUUGUCCUAGUCACACAAAAGCAGGUGUGGACUAAAACUCAAACCCAUGAUUCUUUCACUUUAAAUGAUAUGGUUCUGAACCAUUAAAUUCGAAUGCUACUAAGAAUGGUGAAUGCUAAGCAAUGUUAAGCUACACAUUGUUAUUAUUAACAAAUAAUUUCAAAAGGGCAGGAGAGGUAGGUUAAAAAUUAAAGGGUUAAGCUGGAAUAACAUGUCAAAUUUCUCAGAGUUUUUUAUUUUCAUGAAAAAAUAUAUUUUAUAUUGCAACAGAAUGAACUUGACUUAACAGUUUAGGUAGCUGAUUGCAUAUAUUUUGAUAGUCCUAUCAUAUUUCCAACAAAUACAUUUUCUCCCCACCCCACCUGCAACUGGAGACUUCACAAGGUUAGGAACAGGCUUCACUUCAUUGUGAUGUGUGUAAGGUGACAGAGGACAUAUAACGAAUACGUGGAAGAACUAGGAAUUUGACCUUAGCUUCCAGACAUUUUGAGGAGGAUACACUAUGUCCAUCUUGCUUUCCUAUCAAGAAAAGUAUACCCAGUUUGUGCAGUAGCCCUGUACCAACAGAUACAUUACAGCAGGUUGUUUCCGUAUUUUGGCUAUUGUGAAUAGUGCUGCAAUAAACAUGGAAGUGCUGAUAUAUCUUUGAGAUCUUGACUUCAAACAAAAGAAGAAAAUCUUGCAAUAUAUGACAACACGGAUUAACCUGGAGGACAUUGUGCUUAGUGAAGUUAGCCAGUCACAGACUGACAAGUACUGCACGAUUCCACUUAUAUGAUGCCACUGAAAGGUAAACAUACCAUUCUGACAUGCAUGAAAAUGAAACGACAAAUUGAUACACGCAGUGCUUGGAAUGGAUGGAGUCCUUCUAAUGAGUGAUUACCUGUGGUAUAACUAUAUUGAUUGUGUUUGUACAUGUCAAAUGGGGCUGGCGAGGAUGAACUUGAAGAAAUCAAUCUUGGAACCUGCUAGGACAGCAGCCUCCUGGUUUCACAGUACUAAAUCAUGACUUCAAAAUUUUGAAGUAAAAGAAAACUGCAAAACUUUGUAAAGGUACCAGUCUCUUCCUGACACUAUUUGCCUUGGCAAAAGAUUCACUGUCAACUUAAAAGACUAACAUGUGCUCAGAUGAUGAUUUGUGGAGGACAGAUAAUUAUGAGUACAUUUAGAAAUACACACUCUUCCAAACCCUGCUCUUUCCAUAUAAUGAAGUUAUUUAUUUCUAUUUUUUAUUUAUUUUUCUAAUAAUUACAAACAUACUUUGGAGACCCACAUUCCUGUAUUAUUCUUUCAACAUACUGAAGAAGAGUUAUUUCUAUGCUUCUUUCUAUGUGUUGGGCUUAAGAUUUAUUAGAAGGAAUGUGUAAAAACAAAGGCAGCAAAGUUUCUAUUUUUAUUGGGAGUCACUCCCGGAGUAAGUGGGGAUAGUUGUGCACACACACACACACACAUUCAUGCACAAAGAAAGAGUGAUCAAGUGUAUAACACACUUUUAGCAGUGUUUUGCUGGAAGAAUAAAGUAUAACUCCUUGUCCGCCCUUUUAUUAUACUGGGGUUCACACUAAGAGAGUCUGAGGACCUGUGGAACUCCCAUUUGCAUGAAAUAACUUUUGCAUCUAUUCUGGAGGAAAACUUCCUAAGGCAGAUUUGGACAGAAAAUUGCUAUCAGCGCAAAUAAAACAAUGCAAAGCCUACUCCGGGGAACGUUGCUCUGCCACCACUACUGAAAUGGGUCAUCCCCUUGGUUUCUGAAUAAAGAAUUAUGAAACCUGGGGCUAGAAUGCUCAGGGAGGAAUUUACCAAUCCAAAUCUUCCCCUUAUGGUAGAGAACAAACUUUCAAGGUUUGUUCUCCACUGUAAGUGUGCGAGGGCUGUUAGGGACCGUAAUAUGGCUGCCGGAGACUGGUGUGUGUACCUCCUUGACUGUACGUCUCAUUUCCAGUUAUGAUUUUACAAUCAUCUCUUUCUCAACCUUUGCUUUUAAAUAUAGGAAGGUACGGCUCACCAUGGAGCGGACAUUUUCUUCAGGAGCGGUACGGUGUCUAAGAUAUGCAGAGGUUGUAUUCUAGUCCUAUAACUCAAUUCUCAAACACAUGGCUUUUAGCCAGGGAUAUCCUAAAGGAAAAUUACACUAUAUGCAACCCCUCCUUACUCCUCAAAUAUUAUCUAUAUUAAACACAGCUGAAAUUUGAGAGUGUCCUUACAGGUGAAAAUUUAACAAUUUAACAAAAGGACACUGCUGAAUGUGUGGGGACAAAGGAAGGAUGAAUCUUUCAUCAUGACAAAAGACUACUUGCCACAUUCUCCCUUAACUUAGAAAAACAGAAAAGAGGCUGGGCGUGGUGGCUCCUGCCUGUAACCUCAGCACUUUGGGAG